GAGCCAGUGUGUGCCCAGGGGGCCAAGAAGGCCAAUGGCAUCCUGGGCUGGAUCAGCAGUAGUGUGGCCAGCAGGACCAGGAGAAUG